CUAGCUGGUCUGAGAGGAUGACCAGCCACACUGGAACUGAGACACGGUCCAGACUCCUACGGGAGGCAGCAGUGGGGAAUAUUGCACAAUGGGCGCAAGCCUGAUGCAGCCAUGCCGCGUGUAUGAAGAAGGCCUUCGGGUUGUAAAGUACUUUCAGCGGGGAGGAAGGGAGUAAAGUUAAUACCUUUGCUCAUUGACGUUACCCGCAGAAGAAGCACCGGCUAACUCCGUGCCAGCAGCCGCGGUAAUACGGAGGGUGCAAGCGUUAAUCGGAAUUACUGGGCGUAAAGCGCACGCAGGCGGUUUGUUAAGUCAGAUG
rnacentral:rRNA from 1 species